GACGAACGCUGGCGGCGUGCUUAACACAUGCAAGUCGAACGGAGAAUUUAUUUCGGUAAAUUCUUAGUGGCGAACGGGUGAGUAACGCGUGGGCAACCUGCCCUUCAGAUGGGGACAACAUCCCGAAAGGGGUGCUAAUACCGAAUACGAUCACGCUACCGCAUGGCGAUGUGAUGAAAGAUGGCCUCUAUUUAUAAGCUAUCGCUGAAGGAUGGGCCUGCGUCUGAUUAGCUAGUUGGUGGGGUAACGGCCUACCAAGGGGAUGAUCAGUAGCCGGUCUGAGAGGAUGAACGGCCACAUUGGGACUGAGACACGGCCCAAACUCCUACGGGAGGCAGCAGUGGGGAAUAUUCCGCAAUGGACGAAAGUCUGACGGAGCAACGCCGCGUGAGUGAUGAAGGUUUUCGGACUGUAAAACUCUGUUGUUUAGGACGAAAGUGCCUGUUGCAAAUAGUUGCAGGUAUUGACGGUACUGAACGAGGAAGCCACGGCUAACUACGUGCCAGCAGCCGCGGUAA
rnacentral:rRNA from 1 species